rnacentral:rRNA from 1 species
GUCUACAGCCAUCCCACCCUGAAAACACAUUAUCUCAUCUGAUCUCAGAUGCUAAGUAAGAUAGGGCCUUGUUAGUGCUUGGAUGUAGGGUUCUUCCACAGUGUGAAGAAAAUUGCUCCAGAAA